rnacentral:rRNA from 1 species
GGUGKUGCCCCAGAUUUUUUKCSSGRRAMAYUMCCCCCCCAGCAUCUKGKGMGAUGGCCCAGAUCGUUUACCGUGAAAAAAUUAGAGUGUUCAAAGCAGGCAGAUCCAAUUUUCUGCCACCGAAUACAUUAGCAUGGGAUAAUGGAAUAGGACCCUGUCCUCCUAUUUUCAGUUGGUUUUGGCAGCGCGAGGACUAGGGUAAUGAUUAAUAGGGAUAGUUGGGGGCAUUAAUAUUUAAUUGUCAGAGGUGAAAUUCUUGGAUUUAUGAAAGAUUAACUUCUGCGAAAGCAUCUGCCAAGGAUGUUUUCAUUAAUCAAGAACGAAAGUUAGGGGAUCGAAGACGAUCAGAUACCGUCGUAGUCUUAACCAUAAACGAUGCCGACCAKYGAUUAGGAGACGUUYCCCCCAAACCCCUCCAUCGGCCCCUCAUUUUUUCCCUUGMUCUUCCCCCCCARCAGCUUGGAGAUAUUCCAGKUCGGGACCGGAGC